CGUAGGUAACCUGCCUCUUAGCGGGGGAUAACUAUUGGAAACGAUAGCUAAUACCGCAUAAAAGUCGAUAUCGCAUGAUAUUGAUUUGAAAGGUGCAAUUGCAUCACUAAGGGAUGGACCUGCGUUGUAUUAGCUAGUUGGUGAGGUAACGGCUCACCAAGGCGACGAUACAUAGCCGACCUGAGAGGGUGAUCGGCCACACUGGGACUGAGACACGGCCCAG
rnacentral:rRNA from 1 species